UACGGGGGGGGCAAGCGUUGUUCGGAAUUACUGGGCGUAAAGGGUUCGUAGGUGGCCCGCUAAGUCACACGUGAAAUCCCUCAGCUUAACUGGGGAACUGCGUGUGAGACUGGCAGGCUUGAGUGCAGGAGAGGAACGCGGAAUUCCAGGUGUAGCGGUGAAAUGCGUAGAUAUCUGGAGGAGCACCGGUGGCGAAGGCGGCGUUCUGGACUGUAUCUGACACUGAGGAACGAAAGCCAGGGGAGCAAACGGG
rnacentral:rRNA from 1 species